CCUACGGGAGGCAGCAGUGGGGAAUAUUGGGCAAUGGGCGCAAGCCUGACCCAGCAACGCCGCGUGAAGGAAGAAGGCCCUCGGGUUGUAAACUUCUUUUGUCAGGGACGAAGCAAGUGACGGUACCUGACGAAUAAGCCACGGCUAACUACGUGCCAGCAGCCGCGGUAAUACGUAGGUGGCAAGCGUUAUCCGGAUUUACUGGGUGUAAAGGGCGUGUAGGCGGGGAAGCAAGUCAGAUGUGAAAUUCCAGGGCUCAACCCUGGAACUGCAUUUGAAACUGUUUUUCUUGAGUGAUGGAGAGG
rnacentral:rRNA from 1 species